AUCUGGAUACUUAAGCAUUGAGUCCCGAAGUGUCUGUCCCUCCCGUAGUCUCUCACCAGGUGUCUCUGACUCAGGACCUGGAAGUUCUGCAGAAAGGUGGCAGGUGUUUGCUGGGAUGGGAAAGGACUUGGGCUCUAUUAAUCUCCGGGCAGCCCAGCCGCACAAAUGGACCGACUUGAGGGCGUCCCUCAACCUCCCCACCCGCGGGGCUGGCCAGCCUCACAGAAGCCACCUCGCCCCUUACUCGGGCGUUCUUUGUAACUGACCUGGGUGAUGUCUGCUGUUAGAGGGAUGAACAAAAUGCUUUUCCAAGCUCCUUCUAGUAUUGAAUUCCCCAGAGAAGAGAUCA
rnacentral:lncRNA from 1 species